rnacentral:misc_RNA from 1 species
AAAUGUUUGUAGUUAGUGCAUCAAAUUCAUCUCAUUCAUUCUCUCAUCAUUUGGAUCUCCUUAACAUAGAUUCAAAAAUCUUCUGACAGAUUAUAGCUAAAGCUAACACUCAAAAUCACAUGCCUACUGGCCCAUACUGUAGACAAAAUUGUAUAAUGAAGAAAUCUUGUCUGUGAGACAUGGAGACAUGAUUUUGGGCCAACGUCUCUGGAAAAGCUUUAUCAUGGGCAUGCCUUUAAAAUAUU